rnacentral:rRNA from 1 species
AUUGAACGCUGGCGGCAUGCCUUACACAUGCAAGUCGAACGGCAGCACGGGAGCAAUCCUGGUGGCGAGUGGCGAACGGGUGAGUAAAGUAUCGGAACGUGCCCAGUCGUGGGGGAUAACGUAGCGAAAGUUACGCUAAUACCGCAUACGAUCUAUGGAUGAAAGCGGGGGAUCGCAAGACCUCGCGCGAUUGGAGCGGCCGAUAUCAGAUUAGGGAGUUGGUGGGGUAAAGGCUCACCAAGCCGACGAUCUGUAGCUGGUCUGAGAGGACGACCAGCCACACUGGGACUGAGACACGGCACAGACUCCUACGGGAGGCAGCAGUGGGGAAUUUUGGACAAUGGGCGAACGCCUGAUCCAGCCAUGCCGCGUGCAGGAUGAAGGCCUUCGGGUUGUAAACUGCUUUUGUACGGAACGAAAAGGUUUGGCCUAAUAAGCUGAGCUCAUGACGGUACCGUAAGAAUAAGCACCGGCUAACUUCGUGCCAGCCGCCGCGGUAA